GAUGAACGCUGGCGGCGUGCUUAACACAUGCAAGUCGAACGAAGCACUUUAUUUGUUUUCUUUCUGGACUUAUUAUUUUGUGACUGAGUGGCGGACGGGUGAGUAACGCGUGGGUAACCUGCCUUGUACAGGGGGAUAACAUUUGGAAACGGCUGCUAAUACCCCAUAAGCUCACAGCAUCACAUGCUGCAGUGUGAAAACCUCCGGUGGUAUAAGAUGUACCCGCGUUGGAUUAUCUAGUUGGUGAUGUAACGGCCCACCAAGGCGACGAUACAUAGCCGAGCUGAGAGGGUGGCCGGCGACACUGGGACUGAGAAGCGGCCCGAACUCCUACGGGAGGCAGCAGUGGGGAAUGGUGCACAAUGGGCGAAGGCAUGAUGCAGUGACGCCGCGUGAGCGAAGAAGUAUUGCGGUAUGUAAAGCUCUAUCAGCAGGGCAGAUAAUGACGGUACCUGACUAAGAAGCACCGGCUAAAUACGUG
rnacentral:rRNA from 1 species